ACAACCAGGAGGUUGGCUUAGAAGCAGCCAUCCUUUAAAGAUAGCGUAACAGCUCACUGGUCUAAACAAGUUGUCCUGCGGCGAAGAUGUAACGGGGCUCAAGCCACGAGCCGAAGCUUAGGAUGCACGUAAGUGCGUGGUAGCGGAGCGUUCUGUUCUAGUCUUCACGUCUGUGUUGUUUGGAGAUGCGGAUCGUUUGGGUAUGCGCGCGCAGAAGUCUCUGCGCUCAAGUAGCGAAGCGGUAGCGCACCAAAUACAACAGACGCCGAAGGCGGCUGUGAAGCCGGCCUGUGAGGGACCGGUGGAGCGUUCAGAAGUGAGAAUGUUGACAUGAGUAGCGACAAACAGGGUGAGAGACCCUGUCGCCGAAAGUCCAAGGGUUCCUGCUUAAAGCUAAUCUGAGCAGGGUAAGCCGGCCCCUAAGGCGAGGCCGAAAGGCGUAGUCGAUGGGAACCAGGUUAAUAUUCCUGGGCCAGGAGGAUGUGACGGAUCCCGAAGGUUGUUCACACUAAUCGGAUUGUGUGGGCCGCUUAGGGGUUCCUGGAAAUAGCCCUCCAUUAGAUCGUACCCUAAACCGACACAGGUGGACUGGUAGAGUAUACCAAGGCGCUUGAGAGAACGAUGUUGAAGGAACUCGGCAAAAUACCUCCGUAAGUUCGCGAGAAGGAGGCCCAGUUUCAACGCAAGUUUUGGCUGGGGGCACAAACCAGGGGGUGGCGACUGUUUACUAAAAACACAGGGCUCUGCGAAGUCGCAAGACGACGUAUAGGGUCUGACGCCUGCCCGGUGCCGGAAGGUUAAAUGGAGGGGUGCAAGCUCCGAAAUGAAGCCCCGGUAAACGGCGGCCGUAACUAUAACGGUCCUAAGGUAGCGAAAUUCCUUGUCGGGUAAGUUCCGACCUGCACGAAUGGCGUAACGACUUCCCCGCUGUCUCGAACAUGGACUCAGCGAAAUUGAAUUGCCUGUCAAGAUGCAGGCUUCCCGCGGUUAGACGGAAAGACCCCGUGCACCUUUACUACAGCUUCACACUGGCAUCAGGAUUGCGAUGUGCAGGAUAGGUGGUAGGCUUUGAAACCGGGACGCCAGUCCCGGGGGAGCCUCCCUUGAGAUACCACCCUUCGCACUCUUGAUGUCUAACCGCGAUCCUUGAACCAGGAUCCGGGACCCUGUGUGGCAGGUAGUUUGACUGGGGCGGUCGCCUCCCAAACAGUAACGGAGGCGCGCGAAGGUUGGCUCAGAGCGGUCGGAAAUCGCUCGUUGAGUGCAAUGGCAGAAGCCAGCCUGACUGCGAGACUGACAAGUCGAGCAGAGUCGAAAGACGGCCAUAGUGAUCCGGUGGUCCCGAGUGGAAGGGCCAUCGCUCAACGGAUAAAAGGUACGCCGGGGAUAACAGGCUGAUGAUGCCCAAGAGUCCAUAUCGACGGCAUCGUUUGGCACCUCGAUGUCGGCUCAUCUCAUCCUGGGGCUGGAGCAGGUCCCAAGGGUACGGCUGUUCGCCGUUUAAAGAGGUACGUGAGCUGGGUUUAGAACGUCGUGAGACAGUUCGGUCCCUAUCUGCCGUGGGUGUAGGAUACUUGAGAGGAGUUGCCCCUAGUACGAGAGGACCGGGGUGAACGUUCCACUGGUGGACCUGUUGUGGCGCCAGCCGCAGCGCAGGGUAGCUAUGAACGGACAGGAUAACCGCUGAAAGCAUCUAAGCGGGAAGCCCCCCUCAAAACAAGGUCUCCCUCGAGAGCCGUGAUAGACCAUCACGUCAAUAGGCCGGAGAUGUACGCGCAGCAAUGCGCUCAGUCGACCGGUACUAAUCGCUCGAUCGGCUUGAUUUG
rnacentral:rRNA from 1 species